GUGCCAGCAGCCGCGGUAAUACGAAGGGGGCUAGCGUUGCUCGGAAUGACUGGGCGUAAAGGGCGCGUAGGCGGAACGUACAGUCAGACGUGAAAUUCCCGGGCUCAACCUGGGGGCUGCGUUUGAUACGUGCGUUCUUGAGUAUGGAAGAGGGUCGUGGAAUUCCCAGUGUAGAGGUGAAAUUCGUAGAUAUUGGGAAGAACACCGGUGGCGAAGGCGGCGACCUGGUCCAUUACUGACGCUGAGGCGCGAAAGCGUGGGGAGCAAACAGGAUUAGAUACCCUAGUAGUCC
rnacentral:rRNA from 1 species